ACUCCUACGGGAGGCAGCAGUGGGGAAUAUUGGACAAUGGGCGAAAGCCUGAUCCAGCCAUGCCGCGUGUGUGAAGAAGGUCUUCGGAUUGUAAAGCACUUUAAGUUGGGAGGAAGGGCAUUAACCUAAUACGUUAGUGUUUUGACGUCACCGGCAGAAUAAGCACCGGCUAACUCUGUGCCAGCAGCCGCGGUAAU
rnacentral:rRNA from 1 species